UCCUAGAGGAAAAUCUGGUUCAGUCUGCUUUCCACCAGACUCUGGGAGAUUAAUUCAUAUUUCAGCAUGACAAUAACCGAAAAACACAAGGCCAAAUCUACACUGGAGUUGCUUACCAAGAAAGACAGUGAAUAUUCCUGAGUGGCCGAGUUACAGUUUUGACUUAAAUCUGCUUGAAAAUCUAUGACAAAACCUGAAAAUGGUUGUCUAGCAAUGAUCAACAACCAAUUUGACAGAUCUUGAAGAAUUUUGAAAAUAAUAAAUGGCAAAUGUUACAGUAUGUGAAAUGUCUCUGAAGCCACACCCUGAAACUCUCCCGAGUACGGGAGUUGCAGCGAUGAGACAAGACUGUAACUACUACCAAUUGGGGAGAAAAAAAGGAUUUUUCGAUGUCUAGCGGUCUUCUGGACUGCUUUGAGUUCAGCGACAGACACACCUCAGAGAACUUGGCAGAGGAACUGUUGAGAGUGGCCAGAGAAUGGAGCACAUUAGGUGCUGAAAACUAAAGUCUACACAACGCCAGAUGGGGAUGCCUGAUGCCAUCAUCUCUAGCCUGGUCAUUGUCAAUGCACCUGUUGAUGCUCUGACCCAAGAGGAAUGGGAGGUGGUGGAGGAGUGUGCAGAGUCCUGGAACCCUUUGAGCAGGUCACUGUGGAGAUCAGUGGAGAGAGCUAUGUGACAGCCUCAGAAAUUAUGCUCCUGUGUAAAGGUCUGCAGCGAAUCAUAGCCAGCCGCCAGAGAGAAGCAAAUGUAACCACAGGACAUGUGACAGACUUGAUGGACACCCUGUGUUCAUCAAUGGACAGAAUGGAAUAUAAUCUCGUGCUAUCAGAAACCGCUGCACUUCACCACAGGUUUAAGAAGUUAGCCUUCAGUGAUGCCAGAGUGAGUGAUGAGGCUCUUCAAAGAAUAACCCCCAGCAGUCAGCUGGCUCAGGCACCAGGGCAACAGGAAGAAGAGGGAGCAGAUUGAGCAGAAGCACAAGCAGUAAUGCCACAAACGUCUGACGAGAGAGCAACUGGGGAUGCAGCACGAAGGAAUUCCUCAGCAGAUGAAAUAAUGGAAGUCCGAUCCUAUUUGGAGGAGCCCCUCCUCUGAGCUGGUGGAAGAACAAGGCCUCUGUCUACUCACAACUUACUAAAGUCAUGACAGGGAGACUCUGCAUAGUGGCCACAUCCGUUCCCUCUGAAAGGGUCUUCUCAAAAAUGGGAAAAAUAAUUACUGAGAGAAGAAACCGCAUCAGCCCCUUGAAUGUGAGGCAGCUUGCAUUUCUGAAUGCAAAUCUCUCAUAAAAGCUAAAUAUGGUCAGCAUUGCUGUGUGCUGCUGGUUAUAACAUGGCAAUAAAGAAGAGAGAGAAAAGAGGGACCAGUUUAAUGUUUUACGUGGGAUGCUGCAGUUUUGCACAGUGUUAUUUAUUUUUCUUUGAUAUGGUGCAAUAUUCUAUUAUGCUGUUCAGAUUGUAUUUGUUUUGAAUGGUUAGAUUUAUAUGGACUUUGUUAAUAUACAUUAAAAAGUUAUACUUUAAAUGUUUAAUAGCAUUCUUUUUCAUAACAAAUCAAAUCAAGCUAACCCAAAUUGAAUUUCAUUAAUUUCUUAAAUCUUCUCUAGGCAUUCCCUUCCCAAACCUGAAACCCCGUCCCCAGCGGAAAAGACCAGGAAGAAGAUUUGGCUUAAGCUCGCUGGGUGACAGGUGAGUCUUUCCACCAAGCUGUUCCAGUCCUGGAGUGGAACGCUGGAACUUCCAGAGGUUUGUAGACCUGAAGCAGUGUGAUGUGGUCCAGGUAAUUAUCACACGUAUCUGUUUUGUUGUAUAAUUAUUUCCACUUAAGAAAAUUGUUCCUCUUUCUUUUAGAUCUGACAUCCUUAUUAUCUCAACCACAGCCCUCACAGCUGCAGUCGUCUGCCCCUGCACCUGCUAUACAUACUGGUGUCGUGUCUUUGGCUAUGCCGGAUUAAGUGAUAUGACAUGCUAUUCUAUAAAAUAAUUUCUCCGUAAUUAAUAUCACCUGAUUGAGCUAAUCAUGUAAAUGUAAUUAACUAGAAAGUCGGGCACCACAAAAUAAUAUUUAUAGAGCUGUUAUCUUCCGAAUAAACUCUUAAAGACCUAGUAAUAUUUUACAUCAAUAGCAGUCAAUAUUAAUCGUCAUCUUAAUUCAGUCUCAUCUGAAAGUUGUAAAUUCUUGGUUAUCUGCACGAACCCUGGCCAACAAGUUGAACCAGCAAUACAAAAUAGGGUUUAAUUAUUUAUUUACUAAAUACCUAACAAAUCACACAGAAUUACACAUACACAUAAUUAAAUCAUAACUUGAUUAAAAAUUACGUCAUAAAGGAAAACGUCCCCAGCGGGCGGAGCACAUAUGACAGCUUGUUACACAAAAGAAAAGGGGCUGGGUUGGAGUGAAAGAGCGGGAAGACUGAGGAACAAAGGGGGGAAGCUGUGCUAUCGUAAAUACAGUAUCUUAUGCAUUCUAAAUUACCGCCCAUAUGGAAAAGGAAAAUGAUACUCUGUCUGUUCCUUCCUAAUCCUCGUUUGCAGCUGCUGUUGCUAACUCAACGGCUAGGAGCUAUCCCUUCUGUAGUGAAUAAGAGUUCAAAGUGCAUCCCAAUCGCAACCAAAGCUCACGCUGAUGUUGGUUUCGUUCAGUAGUUUUCAGUCAUCGGACCAUUGUCCUCGGAACAGGAUGUUAUAUUGUCGUCAAAGGCUUAUAUAGGAAGGGAGAGGAGGGCGUGUUUGAAAAGUUUUAUAGCCCAUGUCGCUUCACAGGGGCGGGCCACUGAUUGAGCAGAGCCCUAUCUUAUGAAAACCCAAAUCUCACAUUUUAGAAGCUAAAAUCACAUUUCAUCCCAUCAUGAAUAAUUUCAUAUUCAAACAUUUAAAUUGAACAACAAUUCCAUGUGAAUCCGAUAACUCUGGUGUGUAGACUUUCCACUGUAGAGUUUGUCAUUUUAUCAUUGAUGAGAAUGUCUCAGAUGACAACUGAACUGACAUCAUAUUCAUUAAGUACCACCGCGUAUGUUCAAUUGGUCGCAUUACCAGAAUAUAGUUAAUUUCCCCCCACCUUCUGAUGUUCCCAGAAUCUCUAUGUUAACCAAGGGUUUUGCAAAUGUAACAUCAGUAGGGUAGAGAGAGGAAAAAGGGGGGAAGAGGUAUUUAUGACUGUCAUAAACAUACCCCCAGGCCAAUGUCAUGACACUGGUGAUACAGGUAAUUAUCACAUACAUGCAUACUCGCCCUCACUUGGUGCUCUAUUCAAUCACAUCCGCUUUAGCUGACAUCUGCAUAGCGGUUGUUUUGCCGGUGUGAGAUGUGGAACUGUGUUAGAGCUGUCAAAUCCACAAGUGGCUCUUGGCGUUAUACCUAAAGCAGACUUUGCCAUUGGCUCCACGGAGUUUAGGCUGAUAGACUUUGCCAUUGGCUCCACACCUCGAUUAGGCUGAUAGAAAUCCUCAUUAUUUAGUUUCAUGAUUUUGAAUUUGACCAUCAUUGUUUCUAUAUAGCCUACACUUUCUCGAACAUGUAACUCAAGUAAGACGGUUGUAGUUUCGUGACAAUGAUCAAGAGCAGCUGCUUACCGAUUUGACAGGUCGCCGGAAAAUACUUGAUCUGAAUCUAGGCCUUACACUCAUGCAGUCUGUUUCGUUGUAUGAUUAUUGUCAGUUAAACUCUUGACGCUAGGGGGCACUAUUUUUAUGUUUGGAAAAAUAACAUUCCCAAAGUAAACGGCCUAUUUCUCAGGACCAGAAGCUAGAAUAUGCAUAUAAUUGACAGAUUAGGAUAGAGAACACUCUGAAGUUUCCAAAACUGUAAAAAUAUUCGCUGCGAGUAUAACAGAACUGAUAUUGCAGGCGCUGAGGAGUGUUGUCACCAUACUCAGAGUGCCCUCACCUCCUCCCUGUAGGCUGUUUCAUCAUUGUUGGUAAACAAGCCUACUACAGUUGUGUCGUCUGCAAACUUGAUGAUUGUGUUGGAGGUAUGCAUGGCCAUGCAGUCAUGGGUGAACAGACAGUACAGGAGGGGGCUGAGCACGCACCCUUGUGGGGCCCCAGUGUUGAGGAUCAGCGAAGUGGAGAUGUUGUUUCCUACCUUCAACACCUGGGGGCGGCCCAUCAGGAAGUCCAGGACCCAAUUGUACAGGGCGGGGUUGAGACCCAGGGCCUGUAGCUUAAUGAUGAGCUUGGAGGGUACUAUGGUGUUGAAUGCUGAGCUAUAGUCAAUGAACAGCAUUCUUACAUAGAUAUUCCUCUUGCCCAGAUGGGAUAGGGCAGUGUGCAGUGUUAUGGCUAUUGCAUCUUCUGUGGACCUAUUGGGGCGGUAAGCAAAUUAAAGAGGGUCUAAGAUGACAGGUAAGGUGGAUGUCCUUGACUAGCCUCUCAAAGCACUUCAUGAUGACAUAGGUGAGUGCUACCUUUGCCUUCUUGGGUACAGGAACAAUGGCGGCCAUCUUGAAGCAUGUGGGGACAGCAGACUGGGAUAAGGAGAGAUUGAAUAUGUCCGCAAACACACCAGCCAGCUGGUCUGCGCAUGCUCUGAGGACGCGGCUAGGGAUGCCGUCCUGGCCGGCAGCCUUGCAGGUGUUAACACGUUUAAAUGUCUUGCUCACGUCGGCCACGGAGAAGGAGAGCCCACAGUCCUUGGUAGCAUCCGUGUCGGUGACACUGUAUUAUCCCCAAUGCGGGCCAAGAAGGUGUUUAGUUUGUCUGGGAGCAAGACGUCGGUGUCCGUGGCAUGGCUGGUUUUCCUUUUAUAAUCCGUGAUUGACUGUAGACCCUGCCACAUACGUCUCGUGUCUGAGCCGUUGAAUUGCGACUCCACUUUGUCUCUAUACUGACAUUUCGCUUGUUUGAUUGCCUUGCGGAGGGACUUUUACUAUUUGUAUUCGGCCAUAAUCCCAGUCACCUUUCCAUGGUUAAAUGCAGUGGUUCGCAAUUUCAGUUAUGCGCGAAUGCCGCCAUCUAUCCACGGUGUCUGGUUAGGGUAGGUUUUAAAAUUCACAGUGGGUACAACAUCUCCAAUGCACUUCCUCAUAAACUCACUCUCCGAAUCAGCGAAUAUGUCAAUAUUAUCCUCUGAGGCUACCCAGAACAUGUCCCAGUCUGCCCUCACAUAUGUACAUUGUUCCCAGGAGUGGGAGGCAACCCAAUUCAUUUUGAGUGGGUUAUUUUGCCUAAAAACCUUUAGGCCUACCCAUAGAAAAAAAAAACUGCAAGAGUGGCAAAAAUGGUGUUUAGCAUCCCCAUUGGCUCGCAAAUGCUUCUCAAUGUAUUUCUUUGUAGGCUCUAGCCUUGAAAUAAUAGAAAUAAUAUAGCCUAAAUAAUUCAUUUUCGUUCUUUGUUAGGCUCCCUGUCUGGCUCCUGACCUAUUUAGAGUGUUUAUAUGCUGUUUAAUAUGACAUGUAGUCUGAAAUUAUGUUUGCUUCUUACAUUAACCUUUUCAUGUAUAUUCAAAUACUUUUAAUUCAAAUCCAUAUGGUUAGGUUUCAAUACUUUAAAACCAAUUGGUAGGUCCAGGUAGUCACAAAAAUAGAUGGAUGUUGAUUCAAUUGUGAUUUUAAUGAAUGGAGCGAAAUCGGAGCAGGAGUUUUUUCCCAGUGAUGAGCACUGGAGCAGUUUUGGAAAGGACAUGGUGAGCACAGUGCGCAAGAACCACUCCAUGAGCCGGGAUUCAACUGUGCUCACAUGUGACAUUGUCCAAUCCGUUUGAGAAAAGAGGAAGACAAGGAACAAUUAUUGUUCACCAUCAUGAAGAAAUUGAGUUGUGAGAAGGCUGAGCUCCAGCAUUUGGGAAUCUUGCUCAGGCUCCAGUCAAAUCGGACAUGUUCCGCACCAGCUCUGCUCACAUACUAUGACUGAUUCAAUGUUAUGUUUUAGUUAGGCCUAUUCACCAUUUCAACGCUGUCACGGGGGUAGCAUUAAGAGAAGAGGAGAGGUAUACUUUGGACUGCACUAUUUAUCUCCUUGUCUUUGUGUGGAGGCAAAUAAGCUGAUAACUCAAAAACAGGGAGAGAUGUGGGUUGGUGUGAGUUUGGAGUGUUGGAUAUUAGCAAGAAACAAAGGAAGGUAUGAGCGUAAACCUUAGGAGGAGAGAAAAAUAGGAAAUGCAAAUAAAUGAAAUGGGAAAAACAAGUUUGGAAAUUUCAAUAGAGAAUGAUAGGGGCCUCUAGUGGUCAAAAGGCAGUAUUAACAUGGGCAGCGCCAUUCAGGGCUGCCCAUUUUAUUUUAUAAAAAGAAAAUCACAACAAAUACCAACAUACACAUAAGAACAACGACUUACAGACACACACAAACAACACUAAAUCUCCUCUGCCCAGACCCGCAUGCUCACACCCCCAUCCUUAGUGCCUGCAUUAUUGUUUGCCACAUUAAAUUGUAGGGGAGAGAGAGGUAUGUUGUCACAUUUUUCACGCUGUCUAACAUUUACUGGGCACAAUAUAUCACAAUGGUAUAAAUGUCAUACCAAAUGAAAGACGGAAGUCUUGGGCACAUAUUCUGUAUUCAUUACAUCUUCAUAUCUAUUUCAGUAUUAAGUUGUAGACCGUUAAAUAGAGAGUGUGCAUUUGUGACAAUCAGCGGGUACAUUGAUACACUACGUCUGGUAAGUUGUCACAUUGGAUUAUCAACAAAUAAGAACACAACUAAUGAAUUGUGAAUAUUGAUUUUAAUUUCAAAACCAAAUUCAACUUCCGCCGAAGUUGGUCCCUCUCCUUGUUCGGAGGGCAGACGGCGGUCGACGUCACCGACCUUGUGGCCAUCGCCGAUCCACUUUUCAUUGGUUUUGUCUUCACACCUGGUUCUAAUUCCAUCAAUUACAUGUUGUGUAUUUAAUCUUCUGUUUCCCCCAUGUCCUUGUCCGUAAUUGUUUGUUGUAGUGCUUAUGCACGGUAUGCACCGGGUUUUGUUUGACCCAUUUAUUGCAUUAUUCUGUUGAAGGUGGUUUAUGGUUAUUAAACACAACCGUUGUAAAUCAGUUUCCGCUCUCCCGCGCCUGACUUUGCCGCCAGUAGGAUCGCAUUACAAAAUAACUCAAAAUAAAAACAAUCAUGCCUUUCAAUCAAAACAAUAAUGCUGGCAGAGCGCACAUUCAUUAAGUGGCACGACCACUUUACUGAAUUUUGAAAUCGAACAUUCUCUGGCGUGCACAUAGACCCACGGUAAUGGAAUCGGAAUGUAAAUGCUGCAGAUAACUAGCUUAAAUGUUUAAAGUCUUAACAAAACAGGCAUGGUGUUUAAACACACUUAUGCACAAAUGCACAGCCUAUAGGACGAACAUCCGUAUCUGACUAAUCAGACUCAUCUUCAGAGUCACAGUUCUGGCACACAUACAUUGCCUGGCCGGAGGUGCAAGCAUCAUGGGCCCAUUUGUUGCAUCUCUCACACGUCACCCACGUCUCCUUUGGAAGGCUGUUUGAAAAUGGCUCCACACAGAUGAGGCAGAAGCAGUCCUCUUCAUCUGAUGACUAUUCGACAAUCUUUUUUUUUUUUGGUGCUGCUGCUUUCUUGUUCUUUGCAGAUCCAGAUUUUGCUUCCCUUUCUUCGGAAACAGUCUUUUGCUAGAUUGUGCCUUAUUCUUUUCCAUUUCUAGUGCCUGCGUCACUGGAUGUGUCAGUUAGAAUUGCGGUUUUGCACCGUUUUCUUCCUUUGCAAGCUGGUGUUCGGGGGCCAGCUUUUGGAUAUGGCCGGAUGUCCUCUGGAGAUGGUAGUCUGCUGUCAGCAAUGGCAUAGCUGGACAUGGGUGAGCUGGUGCGUGUAAUUCUUGUAAUCCAAGAUGGCGUAGUAGUCAGACGUCUUUGUCCUGUCGUGUCCCUUGUAUAUAUUGUUUUUCAUAUUUUUCAUCGCAUAUCCUUUAAAAUAUUUUGCUAAACCUUAUCAUCUAACUACUCUCCUGCAACCCGCCUCGCCCAAUGUGGCGUGGAUAUGCAUUUUUUCCCCUAAAGAAUCUAUAUUUACUUUGGAUCUGGAAUCCCUCAACUGAAGCUAGCCAGCUAACUACCAGAUAUCAGUCAGCAAACCAUUGCCAGUGGUCAUCAGCUAACCUUCAGCUCAGAAAACUCUCGGCAGUUUGAACAACGUGACUCUAACCAGAGCAUAACGGACCUGUUAUUUUUAUCCCUGGAUUCCUACCGCAAACUGAACAUUUUCAUCUGGAUCUUCACAACUAGCUAACCGCAAUCCCGGAUGACUACUCCUGGCUAGCAUUUCCAUCCCAGAGCAAGCACCAAUUUAGCUUGAAGCUAGCCCGGCCAGGGUUCCUGUGCUACCACCGAAGCAUACUCCAGAGCUACAAUAUCGGCCUGCUAGCUACCUAGAGCUACUUGGAACCCUACUAAUUCCACGAAUGGUCUAUCGACGUCACCGCACGAAGAGCCAAAAACAGACUUACCCCCAUCGCAACAUCCCCUGCUAUCUGCUUGCUUGCUAACCCGGUCUGCUAACUGCUAAACUGCCGGGCCCUGGUCUGUUAACUGCUAGCUUGCCUGACCGGUCUGCUAACUGCUAGCCCUUGCUAACUGCUAGCUUGCCUGCCCGGUCUGCUAACUGCUAGCCCUUGCUAACUGCUAGCUUGCCUGCCCGGUCUGCUAACUGCUAGCCCUUGCUAACUGCUAGCUUGCCUGACCGGUCUGCUAACUGCUAGCCCUUGCUAACUCUUAGCUUGCCUGGCCGGUCUGCUACCUGCUAGCCCUUGCUAACUGCUUGCUUGCUAACCCGGUCUGCUAACUGCUAGCUUGCCCUGGUCUAUUAGCUGGUAGCUUGUUUAGCUCCGGCCUACUAACUGUUAGCUUGUUAGCCUGCUAACUGUCUGAAUCGCCAUGUCCCCAGCCAGCCCAACCACUCACUGGACCCAUAUGUUCACUUGGCUACGCAUGCCUCUCUCUAAUAUCAAUAUGCCUUGUCCAUUACUGUCCUGGUUAGUGAUUACUGUCUUAUUUCACUGUAGAGCCUCUAGCCCUGCUCAAUAUGCCUUAACCAACCAUGUUGUUCCAUCUCCCACAUAUGUGAUGACAUCACCUGGUUUAAACAUCUCUAGAGACUAUAUCUCUCUCUUCAUUACUCAAUGCCUAGGUUUACCUCCAAUGUACUCACAUCCUACCUUACCUUUGUCUGUACACUAUGCUUUGAAUCUAUGCUAUCGUGCCCAGAAACCUGAUCCUUUUACCCUCUGUUCUGAACGUGCUAGACGGCGAGUUCGUAUAGUCUUUAGCCGUACCCUUAUCCUACUUCUCCUCUGUUCCUCUGGUGAUGUGGAGGUUAAUCCAGGUCCUGCAGUGCCUAGCUCCACUCCCACCCCCCAAGUGCUCUCAUUUGUUGAAUUAUGUAAACGUAAAUGUCUUUGUUUCAUGCAUGUUAACAUUGGAAGCCUACUCCCUAAGUUUGUUUUACUCACUGCUGUAGCACACUCUGCCAACCCAGAUGUCUUAGCCGUGUCUGAAUCCUGGCUUGGGAAAACCACCAAAAACCCUGAAAUCUCCAUUGCUAACUAUAACGUUUUCCGCCAAGAUAGAACUGCCAAAGGGGGCGGUGUUGCAAUCUACUGCAAAGAUAGAAAGUGAUACAGAAUUCUGCAGGCUAAGUCUGUACCCAAACAAUUUGAGCUUCUACUUCAAAAACUUCACCUUUCCAGAAACAAGUCUCUCGCUGUUGCCACUUGCUAUAGAUCUCCCUCUGCCCCCAGCUGUGCCCUCGAUACUAUAUGUGAACUGAUUGCCCCCCAUCUAUCUUCUGAGCUCGUGCCACUAGGUGACCUAAACUGGGACAUGCUUAACACCCCGGCCAUCCUACAAACUAAGCUUGAUGCCUUCAAUCUCACACAAAUUAUCAAUGAACCUACCAGGUACAACCCCAAAUCAGUAAACAUGGGCACCCUCAUAGAUGUCAUCCUAACUAAUUUACCCUCCAAAUACACCUCUGCUGUUUUCAAUCAAGAUCUCAGCGAUCACUGCCUCAUUGCCUGCAUCCAUAAUGGGUCUGCGACCAAACGACCACCACUCAUCACUGUCAAACGCUCCCUGAAACACUUCUGCGAGCAGGCCUUUCUAAUCGACCAUGCCGGGGUAUCCUGGAAUGAUAUUGACCUCAUCCCGUCAGUAGAUGUAUUUAGUCAGCCACCAAUUGUGCAAGUUCUCCCACUUAAAAAGACGAGAGAGGCCUGUAAUUUUCAUCAUAGGUACACUUCAACUAUGACAGACAAAAUGGGAAAAAAAAUCCAGAAAAUCACAUUGCAGGAUUGUUUAUGAAUAUAUUUGCAAAUUAUGGUGGAAAAUAAGUAUUUUGUCACCUACAAACAAGCAAGAUUUCUGGCUCUCACAGACCUGUAACAACUUCUUUAUUAAGAGGCUUCUCUGUCCUCCACUCGUUACCUGUAUUAAAGAAGGGGUCAAAAUCAAAAGUAACAGUCAGUAUCUGGUGUGGUCACCAGCUGCAUUAAGUACUGCAGUGCAUCUCCUCCUCAUGGACUGCACCAGAUUUGCCAGUUCUUGCUGUGAGAUGUUACCCCACACUCUUCCACCAAAGCAGCAAGUUCCUGGACAUUUCUGGGGGGAACGGCCUUCGCCCUCACCCUCUGAUCCAAGAGGGAGGAGGAUGUCUUCCCUGCAACGCACAGUGUUGAGAUUGCCUGCAAUGACAACAAGCUCAGCCCUACGAUGCUGUGACACACAGCCCCAGACCAUGACGGACCCUCCACCUCCAAAUCGAUCCCGCUCCAGAGUACAGGUCUCGGUGUAACGCUCAUUCCUUCGACGAUAAACACGAAUCCGACCAUCAUCCCUGGUGAGAUAAAACCGCGACUCGUCAGUAAAGAGCACUUUUUGCUAGUCCUGUCUGGUCCAGUGAUGGUGGGUUUGUCCCCAUAUGCGACGUUGUUGCCGGUGAUGUCUGGUGAGGACCUGCCUUACAACAGGCCUACAAGCCCUCAGUCCAGCCUCUCUCAGCCUAUUGCAGACAGUCUGAGCACUGAUGGAGGGAUUGUGCGCUCCUGGUGUAACUCGGGCAGUUGUUGCUGCCAUCCUGUACCUGUCCCGCAGGUGUGAUGUUCGGAUGUACCGAUCCUGUGCAGGUGUUGUUACACAUGGUCUGCCACUACAAGGACGAUCAGCUGUUCGUCCUGUCUCCACGUAGCGCUGUCUUAGGCGUCUCACAGUACGGACAUUGCAAUUUAUUGCCCUGGCCACAUCUGCUGUCCUCAUGCCUCCUUUCAGCAUGCCUAAAGAAUGUUCACAAAGAUGAGCAGGGACCCUGGGCAUCUUUCUUUUGGUGUUUUUCAGAGUCAGUAGAAAGGCCUCUUUAGUGUCCUAAGUGUUAAUAACUGUACCUUAAUUGCCUAACGUCUGUAAGCUGUUAGUGUCUUAAUGACCGUUCCACAGGUGCAUGUUCAUUAAUUGUUUAUGGUUCAUUGAACAAUAAUGGAAAACAGUAUUUAAAUCCUUUACAAUGAAGAUCUGUGAAGUUAUUUGGAAAGACAGGGUCCUGAAAAGGUGACAUUUCUCUUUUUGCUGAGUUUAUAAGUACGUUUACAGUAACAUUUAAUUCUAUUAUCAUAGCUGAUUACACAAUAUCUCAAUGUUUGUUACGCAUGUUCUAUGUGUCUAUGUAUACUGGGGCAAUUUGUCACAUGUGAAGACUUGCCCCCAGGUCAUUGAUACAACUUGCCCCAAACUGACAUGUGUGCUAAUGUUGGCUAAAUCGCAAGGUUAGCUCAACAUAGGACUGCAGCUAAAGUAUCAAAAGACACAUUAUUGUCUCCUCUACUCAGUGCAAAAUUAUCAUUUUGAAUGUUCAUACCUAACAAAGUUUUAUUGAAUAAAAUGUAAAGUGCCAAUUUUUUUACUUUUGAAGGGGAAAAAUAAGAAACUUGUGAUCACCUCAGAUUAGAGUGACCUUGACCACAUGUGAACAGGAAGUUGACCAUAGAAUAUGUAGUCACACAAAGUAGCUAUUUGAUUUUUGAGAUAGACCCUCUAGUGUUGGAGGUAUGAACACUUUGACAACUUACCCGUGUGAAAACUUACCUCGCACUCACCUACUAAUUUGUUUUUCUCUGUCGCCUGUGUAUUUCAAUAAUAAAUCAUUUGAUUUUUAUAUUG